rnacentral:rRNA from 1 species
UAAGGAAUAUUGGUCAAUGGACGCAAGUCUGAACCAGCCAUGCCGCGUGGAGGAUGAAGGUCCUCUGGAUUGUAAACUUCUUUUAUCUGGGACGAAACACUUCUUUUCUAAGAGGCCUGACGGUACCAGAUGAAUAAGCACCGGCUAACUCCGUGCCAGCAGCCGCGGUAAUACGUAGGGUGCAAGCGUUAAUCGGAAUUACUGGGCGUAAAGCGUGCGCAGGCGGUUUUGUAAGACGGAUGUGAAAUCCCCGGGCUUAACCUGGGAACUGCAUUCGUGACUGCAAGGCUAGAGUAUGGCAGAGGGGGGUAGAAUUCCACGUGUAGCAGUGAAAUGCGUAGAGAUGUGGAGGAAUACCGAUGGCGAAGGCAGCCCCCUGGGCCAAUACUGACGCUCAUGCACGAAAGCGUGGGGAGCAAACA